rnacentral:rRNA from 1 species
UACGUAGGUGGCAAGCGUUGUCCGGAUUUACUGGGCGUAAAGAGCGCGCAGGCGGUCGUUUAAGUCGAAUGUGAAAGCCCCGGCUCAACUGGGGAGGGUCAUUCGAUACUGAUCGACUUGAAGGCAGGAGAGAGAAGUGGAAUUCCCGGUGUAGUGGUGAAAUGCGUAGAUAUCGGAGGAACACCAGUGGCGAAGGCGACUUCUUGGCCUGUCUGACGCUGAGCGCGAAGCUGGGAGCAACGG